CGGGCCAUUAGCUCAGUGGUUAGAGCAGAGGACUCAUAAUCCUUUGGUCCUUGGUUCAAGUCUAGAGACCAAUAGGUUUUA
rnacentral:tRNA from 1 species